rnacentral:lncRNA from 1 species
GUUAAUUAAGCCUUCUUCCCCUCCUCUUAAAUGAAUAUGAUAUCUAUACCCCUUUGGAACAUUUUAGGGAUAAGUAAGAAAUUAUAUGCAAGUUAUUUAGCAUAGCAUCAAGUAACAAUGACUGAUAGCUAUUGUAUGUGAAGUGAUAAUUUUGAAGAUAUUGUUAAUCCAUAGGUUUCUUUAAAGAAAAGCAAAUAAAUUGACCAAAAUUUCACAGAUGCCAGGAAUAAAGUUAUAUUUUCUGUUUCAUUUCAGAUGUUCUGGUGAAGAAUUCUUGUUAAUGCAGGACAUGGAUAUCUCACCUUGGAGCUUGUGGAUGAAUCAUGUAGCUCUGUCCAUUCUGAUGAUUAUCUUUCUCAUAAUUGCCUACCUAAGAAUGUUAUACCUUAAAAGAAAUUCUUAAAUUUUACUUCCAUUUACUAUGAAUUAAUUUCACAUUUAAAAAGUACCUGGAUUGGCUGUCAGUAGUUAAUGAUUUUUUUAUUGUCUUCUAUUCAGUUCCAUCACACUGCUGAUCAGCAACAAUCAUCUUCAAUAGAAAAGAUCACAAAACAACAACAAACUGAAUUAUAUAUCCAAAAACCAAAGCCAAAAUCUGAUGGUAUUUCUUAGUGCAUAUUACUUUAUCUCCCUCAGACAAUAAGUGUUGGGAAGAAAUCCAGGCUAAUUUAUUGACCUGAAAAAGGAGAAUUGAUCUCUAGAAACUCAUGACAACUUUCUCUUAUCUCUGGCAUUAGGUUCCUCAUGUACAAAAUGAGUAGGCUGGCUAGUAGCCCUCCGGUUUUGAUAUUCUGUGACUCUACCAUUAAAUAUGAUCCCAUUAAAUAAAUAACUUGUGUAACUGUUGUAUUAAAAGUAUGAAACUUAAUUACUUUGAAAACAUAAUGAUAUUUCUAGGGUGAAACAGAUCCGUGAUGAUAAAAAAAAAAAAAACAUGUCUUAAAUAAGAUAAUUUAGAUUGGUGGAACUUACAAUGCUAAUGGAAUUGUAAGAGUUCAGGAGUCUUAGCUGGGGUCUUGGGCUGCAGGUGGAGUUGAGGGCCAGGGUCAGGGGUUAUGGCUCUUGUGCCAUUUCUGGGACAUUCUGCCUCUGAAAUUUCACUUUGCCUCCUUGCAUGUCUCAGUGGUAUAUAAUCUGGCUACAUCAGAAUCUCUGAGGGCUUUGCUAAGACACAGAUGUCAGGUCCUGCCUUUCCCACUGAAGGAGCACCUGGAGAGCCGCCUCCAUGGAGAACUUGUCAGGGCUGAAUUUGGCCAUUUCUAAUGCUCUCUCAGCUCUGAAAAUGUUAUGCUUGUGGUUUAAUAACUUGGGUAUCUUUGCCUACACAAGAUCCCAUUCAAUGCUUGCAGAUUUAAUUUAUUUAUGUAUACUCAUUUCAUUCUUUACCUGUAAUAGAG